GUUUGUGUGUGUGUGUUUCUCUGUGUGUGUUUUGUUUGUUUUUGUUUACAGUCGUUAUCACCAUGACGAUAAGAACACGAGGCCUUUUGGAGAUGAACUCUGAGAACUUUAUAACCAAAGACAGAAAAUAAAGACAACAUUUAACAGUCA